rnacentral:lncRNA from 1 species
ACUUGCUGGAGGAAGAAUGACCGGCCACAUCGGUACUAACAGCAUCCGAGUUGUGCGGACAGGGCUGCCCAUUCCCAUCCUACGACCCUGACAGUGAGUGACCAGUAAGAAAUUCCUCGGCACACAAGGAAUGGACAAGAACAGCAGCCAUGAGGAUGCAUCACUGAGGAGUACCACGGAAAUUGCUCACGUCGCUAGUUAAUGAAAUAAAUGAGCCACCA